rnacentral:rRNA from 1 species
AUUGAACGCUGGCGACAUGCCUUACACAUGCAAGUCGAACGGCAGCACGGGUGCUUGCACCUGGUGGCGAGUGGCGAACGGGUGAGUAAUACAUCGGAACAUGUCCUGUAGUGGGGGAUAGCCCGGCGAAAGCCGGAUUAAUACCGCAUACGAUCUACGGAUGAAAGCGGGGGACCUUCGGGCCUCGCGCUAUAGGGUUGGCCGAUGGCUGAUUAGCUAGUUGGUGGGGUAAAGGCCUACCAAGGCGACGAUCAGUAGCUGGUCUGAGAGGACGACCAGUCACACUGGGACUGAGACACGGCCCAGACUCCUACGGGAGGCAGCAGUGGGGAAUUUUGGACAAUGGGCGGAAGCCUGAUCCAGCAAUGCCGCGUGUGUGAAGAAGGCCUUCGGGUUGUAAAGCACUUUUGUCCGGAAAGAAAUCCUUGGCCCUAAUACGGUCGGGGGAUGACGGUACCGGAAGAAUAAGCACCGGCUAACUACGUG